GACUUGUGUUACCAAACGUUCACCCGCAGCACAAAAUAGGCACAUAUAACCACAAAAGUUUAUCAUAACAGAUACAAGAUACAUGAAACGCAUCGUUGACAUCUGGCUUCGUUCUCGAACUUACUGCAAUGAUUAAAAAUCCGUAUAAACAGAAUAAAGUGCUAAAAUAGAUCAGUAAUCCAAGUAACAAUACGGUAAAUAUACUUUCAAUAGUAUCAAAAUAUCUGUAAGACAAAUUUUAAUUAUGUAAUCUUAAUAGAUUUUUCAGAUCAAGCGUGCGAUGCUUCUUGAGAAUUCAUUUUCGGAGAAAGAUGAAUGAAACCAAAAAAGAGACAAUGAUAAUGUUGCCAAGAACAAAUAGAUAUUUAAAUAUAGAGAAGCCAGGGAACAGAAAGUUGCUAAUUGUUAACAUUACAGUAUUGAAAAUAUUAAAUUAAAAACACGCUACUUGAUUA